rnacentral:rRNA from 1 species
CCUACGGUGGGCAGCAGUAGGGAAUAUUGCUCAAUGUGGGAAACCCUGAAGCAGCAACGCCGCGUGGGUGAAGAAGGUUUUCGGAUUGUAAACUCCUUUUGUUAGAGAAGAUAAUGACGGUAUCUAACGGAUAACCACCGGCUACCUCCGUACCAGACGCCGCCGUAAUACGUAGGGUGCAAACUUUACUCGUGAUCAAUGGGCGUAAAGAGCACGUAGGCGGGAUAGCAAGUCAGAUGUGAAAUCCUAUGGCUUAACCAUAGAACUGCAUUUGAAACUGUUAUUCUAGAGUAUGGGAGAGGUAGGUGGAAUUCGUGGUGUAGGGGUAAAAUUCGUAGAGAUAAAGAGGAAUACUCAUUGCGAAGGCGACUCGCUAGAACAUAACUGACGCUGAUGCGCGAAAGCGUGGGGAGCAAACAGGAUUAGAUACCCGGGUAGUC